GCACGGGAGAGAGGCGAGGAGGCGCUGUGGGCUGCUGGGCUCAGGCCUAGAGGCGCCCUUCAAAACGAACAGCCUGGGUGCUGUGGAGGGCACGUUGAUGGCAGCAAAAGGAAGACAGGCUACUGGACAGAAAGGGACGGGUCCCAGUGAAGCCCCACCUUCAAGCCAGGGAUGGCUUCAAUCCUGGAGGCCGCGCUGUCAGUUCCGGUCGGAGUCUGUGGCCUGGAGUGAGCACUAAUGGUUCUUUUUCCAGGCCCGCCCAUGGCCACCCAUGGACCAAUCAGCAUGCACUUCCUCCCUUCUGAACCCAUAAAAACCCCGCUCCCCGGACGCAGCCGGAGUCACGCGAAGUCGGAAGUACCAGCUGCGGGAAGGAGCUGCCCACUGUGCGUCUUCUCAACUUGUUGGGACAACCUUCCUGCGGAAAGGAGAGACAACCUUCCUGCAGAAAGGAGCUACCUGCUUCAGGUCUACUGAGAGCUGUUCUGCCACUCAAUAAAGCUCUUCUCCAUCUUGCUAAGCCUCCAUUUGUCCGCAAUACCUCAUCUCCCUGGACGCAGGACAAGAACUCAGGACCCGCCUGGAGGUGCCCACAGCAGAAUCCACAUGCCGUCCAUCUGGUCCAGCCUCACGCAGAGCCACAACUGUGCUGGCGCCUGGAGCUGCCAGCCCCACUGCAGCAGCCGGACUGACAUUCAGACGUGGAGCAAGUUGGACUGCAUAGGGACCCACCAGUGAGAUGGACGCUGUCUGUAAACGGUUCUCCAGGGAGGCUGCUCUGCCAAGUCUGGUAUUUCAUGAAUAGAUCUGAAAACAGACAUUAUCUCUUCUCCCAGUGAAGAGAGAGCGAUGAAGCCUCAGGACAAAAGGAGGCAGUGGGAUGAUGCCACCAAGGGACCAUUCUGAAGAGCCAUCAGCAAAAAGCAGCCACACCUGCUUAUGUGGCUCUGGGACAAAUGAUCUGAGCCGUGACGUGGAACUUAGAUGCAGUAAAGUCCAUUGUAUUGAGCCUUCUCUGGCACUCCUCCCAAAACAGAGAGACAACAGUUCUGUUAUGUUUUGUUUGGUUUGGUCUCCCUCAACUCAUCAAUGAGCCUUUUUAAAAAGAAUAAUUCGGUACUUUCUUUAAAGGUGGUAGAAUUGGCUCUUACUCUAGUCUGUUUUCUCCUUCCUAAGGGAGGAGCAUCCUUCUUGUUAACACAGAACCCCAAACUAUCUGAUCAGAAAGAAAAUAAUUCAAUCUGCUGUUUGAAUUGACUUCCAGCAGCGUCUUAAAUUUUAAUUGGCCCCCGGCCUAAAACAACCUCAAACUGUAUGUCUUCCAUACUCCUCUCACCACCACCAUCACCACUGCCCCUACAACCACUCUAAGCAUAGUACAUAUGGUGAACAUACCAUGAUAUUGAAUGCUAUUCUCACUCUGCCUUCUCUUAAUCUGAUCUUACUCAGGUUCUGACAGUUGACGCUGAAAACAUUUUUUGUUGUUGUUGUGGUUGAGACAGAGUUUCGCACUUGUUGCCCAGGCUGGAGUACAGUGGUGCGAUCUCGGCUCACUGCAACCUCCGCCUCCCGGGUUCAAGUGAUUCUCCUGCCUCAGCUCCCCAAGUAGCUGGGAUUACAGGCAUGUGCCACCAUGCCUGACUAAGUUUGUAUUUUUAGUAGAGACGGGGUUUCUCCAUGUUGGUCAGGCUGAUCUCGAACUCCCGACCUCAGGUGAUCCGCCUGCCUCGGCCUCCCAAAGUGCUGGGAUUACUGGUGUGAGCCACCAUGCCCGGCCAUGACACUGAAAACAUUUUAAAGGAGAAACAGAUUACCAAUUAUCCAUAAAGAUGAGAAUUAUCUGGCAACAUUUUGGUUAGAUGAAAACUGUGACUAGAGAGCUAACAAAAACAAACACAAUGAGCACUAGAUAUCUGCCAGGCAUUGUUCACAGCCCCUUUUUUGGUCUCAUCUGAUCCUUGCUGUAGAUCAGGAAUCAACAAACUAAGCUUUCACCACUUGUCAGGGGUAAAGCCAUGUCAGUCUGAGUCCCAAUGCCACACUGUUAGCCACUCUCCCACACCACCUGCUCCAACUAUUUGAAGAAGGAGAAUGUUUUUCCAGUUAAUAAAGUUAAUAGUUAAAAACUGAAGGAUGCUCUUUGUUUUUUAACUUUUAUUAUUAACCAAAACUUGAAAAUAUAUAUCCUCCCCCAGUGAUACCUCUAUUUAGAAUAUUAGAAUGGAUAUUUGGUACUUAGCCUUCUAUUUUCCUGGAUGAGUAAUAUUUUGAGGCCUGUGCAGUUGUUUAAGAUACAGAUCAUUCUGUCUCAUACCAAGAGGGAGUUUCCAUGCUCUUCUGUGUUGGGCUGGCCUUGUAAGUUUAUUUUAAUAUGGUAUUAGCAUCCAUCGUCACCACUAAUUGCUGUUUACUAAGGAAUCACACAGUGCCUGCCGUGUACAUCAGAAACACACUUGACUGAGCUUACUCUUCACUAGGAAGCAGGAGGCAAAAAUAUGAAUUAGCUUCUUUUUAUGCAUGUGAAGAUGCUUGUCUGUCUUUACUACUUCCCAGGAAUACUGCCAGUGAGGAAUGCUCUGGAAUUCUAAUCUAUUAGUACUGAAUAACAUAAUAAAACUGACAUGAAUACAAAUGACAAGGUGUAGUUUACACAUCCUGGUAUUAAUCUCAAGAGCCUGAGCACUCACAUGAA
rnacentral:lncRNA from 1 species